AGCUGCUUAAGAAAGGCAGCUCUUAGUCGCAAGCUCGCCUCGCUAAAAUAAAGGGAGCCAUCCAAACGGAGAUCCGGAAGAGAAAGGAUGGGGGGCUACGGGCUGCCGCAAGGUCCAAUCCGCGCCGUUCGGCUAACAUGCUCUGCCCCGGGUCCCCGCCGAGAUGCCCAGUGCCCAGAGCGGCGUCUCAGAGCCAGCUCUAGGGAGAAGAGCAAGGGAGGCCCUCAGUCAGCGGUCAGCUCUUUUUGCAGAGGCUGAAAGAAAGGAUGGUUAUCUUUGGAUAACACCAAGACUACAAGUCACUGCUCUGCUUGAGAUAUAUUUGCUAUGAGCAAUGAUAAACGACUAUCUUUUUUUUUUUUUUUUUAAAAAGGUUAAAUCAUGACUCA